rnacentral:rRNA from 1 species
UACGGAGGAUGCAAGCGUUAUCCGGAAAGAUUGGGCGUAAAGCGUCCGCAGGCGGCUGUGUAAGUCUGCUGUUAAAGCGCAAAGCUUAACUUUGUAAAAGCAGUGGAAACUACACAGCUAGAGUGCGUUCGGGGCAGAGGGAAUUCCUGGUGUAGCGGUGAAAUGCGUAGAGAUCAGGAAGAACACCGGUGGCGAAGGCGCUCUGCUAGGCCGCAACUGACACUGAGGGACGAAAGCUAGGGGAGCGAAUGGG